CCUACGGGUGGCAGCAGUGGGGAAUAUUGCACAAUGGGGGAAACCCUGAUGCAGCGACGCCGCGUGAGUGAAGAAGUAUCUCGGUACGUAAAACUCUGUCAGCAGGGAAGAAAAUGACGGUACCUGACUAAGAAGCCCCGGCUAACUACGUGCCAGCAGCCGCGGUAAUACGUAGGGGGCAAGCGUUAUCCGGAUUUACUGGGUGUAAAGGGAGCGUAGACGGCAGCACAAGUCUGGAUUGAAAUCCCGGGGCUUAACCGCGGAACUGCAUUGGAAACUGUGCGGCUGGAGUGCAGGAGGGGUAAGCGGAAUUCGUGGUGUAGCGGUGAAAUGCGUAGAUAUUAGGAGGAACACCGGUGGCGAAGGCGGCUUACUGGACUGUAACUGACGUUGAUGCUCGAAAGCGUGGGGAGCAAACAGGAUUAGAUACCCCUGUAGUC
rnacentral:rRNA from 1 species